rnacentral:rRNA from 1 species
UAGGGAAUCUUCGGCAAUGGACGAAAGUCUGACCGAGCAACGCCGCGUGAGUGAAGAAGGUUUUCGGAUCGUAAAACUCUGUUGUUAGAGAAGAACAAGGACGUUAGUAACUGAACGUCCCCUGACGGUAUCUAACCAGAAAGCCACGGCUAACUACGUGCCAGCAGCCGCGGUAAUACGUAGGUGGCAAGCGUUGUCCGGAUUUAUUGGGCGUAAAGCGAGCGCAGGCGGUUUCUUAAGUCUGAUGUGAAAGCCCCCGGCUCAACCGGGGAGGGUCAUUGGAAACUGGGAGACUUGAGUGCAGAAGAGGGGAGUGGAAUUCCAUGUGUAGCGGUGAAAUUCGUAGAUAUAUGGAGGAACACCAGUGGCGAAGGCAGCUCUCUGAUCUGUAACUGACGCUGAGGCUCGAAAGCGUGGGGAGCAAACAGG